rnacentral:rRNA from 1 species
CGGCGGACGGGUGAGUAAUGUAUGGGGAUCUGCCUGAUGGCGGGGGAUAACUACUGGAAACGGUAGCUAAUACCGCAUAAUGUCUACGGACCAAAGCGGGGGACCUCCGGGCCUCGCGCCAUCAGAUGAACCCAUAUGGGAUUAGCUAGUAGGUAAGGUAACGGCUUACCUAGGCGACGAUCCCUAGCUGGUCUGAGAGGAUGACCAGCCACACUGGAACUGAGACACGGUCCAG